AGAAUUUUCUAUGUGAAAAUGGAAGUGCAAGAUUUAUUAAUCUUUCCAACUCAUUUUCUUAGAACCAAAUAGAUGUCAAACAAUAAAAAAUAUUCAAUGUGAAGGGAAAAAGACAUCUAUCUGACAGAAAUAAAAAACGCAAACAAGAGAGAAAAUCAGGAGCAUUUAUCUCAACAUUGGUUGUUAUAUAAAUAACUAAAGACAAAAUUCAAAAUGUAAGUAUAAAAAUCCAACCCAAAAGAGUCUUGCUUUCUGUGAAUUCAAAAU
rnacentral:misc_RNA from 1 species